CGAUUAGCUCAGCUGGUUAGAGCGCCACAUUGACAUUGUGGAGGUCGGAGGUUCAAAUCCCCCAUCGUC
rnacentral:tRNA from 1 species